rnacentral:miRNA from 4 species
GCCUUCUCUUCCCGGUUCUUCC